CUCUGAGGUUCUGUGUUUGUUUUUUUUUUUUUUUAUAUAUAUAUACAUAUAUAUUAUGUGUGUGUGUAUAUACAUAUAUAUAUUUGCAAAAAGUCAUUGAGCCUCCAUCACUUUUUAGAGUUGGAAAACAGUAUAGAUCCACAUUAGUUCACAGCACAAUCAGUUUUAACUGAUUUUUAUAAAGAAUGAGGGUAAACAGACUAAAAACUGGAAGUAAUUUUUCUGAUCUUGAAUUUGAGAACUUUCUACUUUUAGUUGCUGAUUUUACUGAGCAGAUGAAACUGCCCUCUAAGCAUGAUAAAUACUGUCAAGUACUAGAAGAAUUCUUUUCAUUUUUGAUGAACGACUCAUGCAAAAAUAAAUGCACAGAACAACAGUAUCUCUUGUUAUUUCACCUGUUCUUCCUUUAGAAGUGUCCUUUCUUGUUUGCUGACAACUCCCACUAUGAUGGAGCACUUGUCCAAAGACCCAGGAGUUAUUAACUUCUGGGAGUUAACAAGACGGGAGUGGGAAAUUAAAGCUGUUGAGCAAGCGUUGGAAGGAUACCAACUGGAGGAUAUUUGUGACUGACGAGGAUAACAGGAAGGGAGGAAGAAAAAGAAAUGGUCAGCACUUUUGGCUUUUUAAAAGUGGGGUGCAUAUGACUUGCUGUUAUGUCUUUGCAACGUCUUGUUUCCAGACUGUUGGCUUUGUCAGCCACAUCUUUAAUUUGCUCAGUCUAUAACAGCUGCUUCUGCUGCUACCACAAAAAGAGAAAUUAUAGUUUCCGAGCCUUCAUUUCUUCCCUCUUACCUAUAAUACUCGAGUUCCAGUCUGUCUGACCACUUUACUAGGCUUUUUUAAUUAGCAGAUCUUUUGGGGGCCCUUAAGUGUAUUUUACAUAUAUAGAAACACUAAACAGCCUUGGAAACUCCUGACGAGAUGAAAAACAUCCUGCUGGGAACAUAAAAUAGCACAAAAUACCUGUUGGUAUUUUCAGGGUUGCAGGACCAUGGGUAAAUCAUUCUUAUGAAGAAAUAAACAUAUAAAAAGUGUUUGACAAAGAAAUAUUAAUUGAAAUGUAAUUUUUAUUCAAGAGAAGAGAGGAAUGAGAUGUUUGUUCCAAUGUUACUGAAAGAUUAAUACUGGUAUGUUGAAGAAAACUUUUUAUUUAAAGAGAGAUAUAUGUUUUUGAUCUCCAUAGAAGGUAGACUAACCAACUGUGGAAGGUGAG
ensembl:lncRNA